rnacentral:rRNA from 1 species
GCACGAAGUUGAAGAGCUUGCUCUUUAACCUAGUGAGUGGCGGACGGGUGAGUAACACGUGGGUAACCUGCCCAUUAGAGGGGGAUAACACUUGGAAACAGGUGCUAAUACCGCAUAAUUGUUUUAGCCGCAUGGCUGAGAUAUGAAAGACGCUUUCGGGUGUCACUAAUGGAUGGACCCGCGCUGCAUUAGUUAGUUGGUGAGGUAAUGGCUCACCAAGACCGUGAUGCAUAGCCGACCUGAGAGGGUGAUCGGCCACACUGGGACUGAGACACGGCCCAGACUCCUACGGGAGGCAGCAGUAGGGAAUCUUCGGCAAUGGACGAAAGUCUGACCGAGCAACGCCGCGUGAGUGAAGAAGGUUUUCGGAUCGUAAAACUCUGUUGUUAGAGAAGAACAAGUGGGAGAGUAACUGUUCCCACCUUGACGGUAUCUAACCAGAAAGCCACGGCUAACUACGUGCCAGCAGCCGCGGUAAUACGUAGGUGGCAAGCGUUGUCCGGAUUUAUUGGGCGUAAAGCGAGCGCAGGUGGUUCUUUAAGUCUGAUGUGAAAGCCCCCGGCUCAACCGGGGAGGGUCAUUGGAAACUGGGGAACUUGAGUGCAGAAGAGGAGAGUGGAAUUCCAUGUGUAGCGGUGAAAUGCGUAGAUAUAUGGAGGAACACCAGUGGCGAAGGCGACUCUCU